rnacentral:rRNA from 1 species
GAUGAACGCUGGCGGCGUGCCUAAUACAUGCAAGUCGAGCGAACAGAUGAGGAGCUUGCUCCUCUGACGUUAUCGGCGGACGGGUGAGUAACACGUGGAUAACCUACCUAUACGACUGGGAUAACUUCGGGAAACCGGAGCUAAUACCGGAUAAUAUAUUGCACCGCAUGGUUCAAUAGUUAAAUACGGUUUUGCUGUCACUUAUAGAUUGAUCCGCGCCGCAUUAGCUAGUUGGGAAGGUAACGGCUUACCAAGGCAACGAUGCGUAGCCGACCUGAGAGGGUGAACGGACACACUGGAACUGAGAAACGGUACAGACUCCUACGGGAGGAAGCAGUAGGGAAUCUUACGGAAUGGGGGAAGGCCGGACGGAGCAACGCGGCGUGAGGGAUGAAGGUGUAAGGAUCGGAAAACUAUGUUAGUAGGGAAGAACAAAUGUGUAAGUAACUAGGAACGUAUUGACGGUACCUAAUCAGAAAGCCACGGCUAACUACGUG